rnacentral:rRNA from 1 species
CGCCUUUUGAAUUAUAAACAUAAAAGGUCCUGCCUGCCCAGUGACAUCUGUUUCAACGGCCGCGGUAUCAUGACCGUGCAAAGGUAGCGUAAUCACUUGUCUUUUAAAUAAAGACCAGUAUGAAUGGCAAGACGAAAGCCUAACUGUCUCCCUAAGUUAGUCAAUAAAAUUGAUUUUCCCGUGCAGAAGCGGGAAUAAUAAUAUAAGACGAGAAGACCCUGUGGAGCUUCAAACUUUAAGCUAACAAUCACAAAUAUCUUAGCACCAGUUUUGGGUUGGGGCGACCAUGAGGUAAAACACAACCCUCAAGACAUAAAACUAAGAAGGACACUUCAAAUAAAUAAUAAUAACAUAUUGACCCAAUAAUUGAUCAACGAACCAAGUUACCCCAGGGAUAACAGCGCAAUCUACUCAAAGAGCCCUUAUCGAAGAGCAGGUUUACGACCUCGAUGUUGGAUCAGGACUCCCAAAUAAUGCAACAGUUAUUAAAGGUUCGUUUGUUCAACGAUUAAAGUCCU